rnacentral:lncRNA from 1 species
GAUUCAUGGAGGCGUGAAGGAUCCCAGCAAGAAAACACAGACUUGAUCUUGAGACGAGAUUUUUGAAAUUGGUUGCGGCCUCAAGGCAGGCUCUGAGAAGACUCGAUAAAGAGUUCUCAGGAAUAGGCAUCCCUCCUGGAUAUUUCCCCCUUGGAAGCGCCGAGGAGCCAGCUCUAUGUUUGUAACCAUAGCAUUUCUAAAGCUCCAGCCCCAGGAACCUGCUGUGAAUUAGAGACAGAUUCCACCCUAGGCAUCACUGAUCUUGGCCUCUCUUGUAUUGGGAAGGUCAACACUGUUCCAGUUUCUCUCCUACUCCCAUCUGGUUGUGCUCGGUGAAGUAGGUGAGCAGUGCUACCCUUCUGUUAAAAAAAAAAAAAAAAAAAAGAUCCUGAAAGAGGAAAGAAUUUUUGCUACACAUCUGAAAGCUAAAGUCCAGGUGAUGCCUUGAUUACCUAGCUUUGGCUUCUCUGAACUCUGCUUCUCUGAUAGAGGAAACCUGAAGAGAACUAGCAUUUCUGAAACCAUGGCCCGGGUGAUCCGCCUGCCUCACCCUCCGAAAGUGCUGGGAUUACAGGGGUGAGCCAUCGCACCUGGCCUCUGCUGGGAUUUUGACUGAGAUUUUGUUGAAUCU